rnacentral:rRNA from 1 species
CCUACGGGAGGCAGCAGUGGGGAAUAUUGCACAAUGGGGGCAAGCCUGAUGCAGCCAUGCCGCGUGUAUGAAGAAGGCCUUCGGGUUGUAAAGUACUUUCAGUCGUGAGGAAGGUGUCGGCGUUAAUAGCGGAGUCCUUUGACGUUAGCGACAGAAGAAGCACCGGCUAACUCCGUGCCAGCAGCCGCGGUAAUACGGAGGGUGCGAGCGUUAAUCGGAAUUACUGGGCGUAAAGCGCAUGCAGGUGGUUUGUUAAGUCAGAUGUGAAAGCCCGGGGCUCAACCUCGGAAUAGCAUUUGAAACUGGCAGACUAGAGUACUGUAGAGGGGGGUAGAAUUUCAGGUGUAGCGGUGAAAUGCGUAGAGAUCUGAAGGAAUACCGGUGGCGAAGGCGGCCCCCUGGACAGAUACUGACACUCAGAUGCGAAAGCGUGGGGAGCAAACAGGAUUAGAUACCCUGGUAGUCCACGCCGUAAACGAUGUCUACUUGGAGGUUGUGGCCUUGAGCCGUGGCUUUCGGAGCUAACGCGUUAAGUAGACCGCCUGGGGAGUACGGUCGCAAGAUUAAAACUCAAAGG